rnacentral:rRNA from 1 species
GUGCAGCAGGCGAGAAUCCUUCGCAAUGCGGGAAACCGCGACGAGGGGACUCCCAGUGCCUACGCUCAGCGUAGGCUGUUCCCGAGCCUAGAAAGCUCGGGGAGUAAGGGCUGGGUAAGACGGGUGCCAGCCGCCGCGGUAAUACCCGCAGCCCGAGUGGUGGCCACUAUUAUUGGGCCUAAAGCGUCCGUAGCCGGCCCGGUAAAUGCCUGGGUAAAUCGUGAGGCCUAACCUCACGAAUUCCGGGUAGACUGCCGGGCUAGGGACCGGAGGAGGGAGAGGGGUACUCCAGGGGUAGGGGUGAAAUCCUGUAAUCCCUGGAGGACCACCGGUGGCGAAGGCGCUCUCCUAGGACGGGUCCGACGGUGAGGGACGAAAGCCAGGGGAGCGAACCGGAUUAGAUACCCCCGUAGU